AGUGAACGCUGGCGGUAGGCCUAACACAUGCAAGUCGAACGGCAGCACAGUAAGAGCUUGCUCUUACGGGUGGCGAGUGGCGGACGGGUGAGGAAUACAUCGGCAUCUACUUUUUCGUGGGGGAUAACGUAGGGAAACUUACGCUAAUACCUCAUACGACCUACGGGUGAAAGCAGGGGAUCUUCGGACUCUUCGCGAUUGAAUGAGCCGAUGUCGGAUUAGCUAGUUGGCUGGGUAAAGGCCCACCAAGGCGACGAUCCGUAGCUGGUCUGAGAGGAUGAUCAGCCACACUGGAACUGAGACACGGUCCAGACUCCUACGGGAGGCAGCAGUGGGGAAUCUUGGACAAUGGGCGCAAGCCUGAUGCAGCAAUACCGCGUGGGUGAAGAAGGUCUUCGGGUUGUAAAGCCCUUUUGUUGGGAAAGAAAAGCAGUAGGAUAAUACCCCGCUGUUCUGACGGUACCCAAAGAAUAAGCACCGGCUAACUUCGUG
rnacentral:rRNA from 1 species